rnacentral:rRNA from 1 species
AACGCUAGCUACAGGCUUAACACAUGCAAGUCGAGGGGCAGCAUGGAACUUAGCUUGCUAAGUUCUGAUGGCGACCGGCGCACGGGUGAGUAACACGUAUCCAACCUACCGUUACUACGGGAUAGCCUUCUGAAAAGGAGAUUAAUACCGUAUGGCAUUCUAAGGUUUCAUGACAUUAGAAUUAAAGGUUUACCGGUAAUCGAUGGGGAUGCGUUCCAUUAGAUAGUAGGCGGGGUAACGGCCCACCUAGUCAACGAUGGAUAGGGGUUCUGAGAGGAAGGUCCCCCACAUUGGAACUGAGACACGGUCCAAACUCCUACGGGAGGCAGCAGUGAGGAAUAUUGGUCAAUGGACGAGAGUCUGAACCAGCCAAGUAGCGUGAAGGAUGACUGCCCUAUGGGUUGUAAACUUCUUUUAUAAAGGAAUAAAGUAGUCCACGUGUGGAUUUUUGUAUGUACUUUAUGAAUAAGGAUCGGCUAACUCCGUGCCAGCAGCCGCGGUAAUACGGAGGAUCCAAGCGUUAUCCGGAUUUAUUGGGUUUAAAGGGAGCGUAGGUUGACAUAUAAGUCAGCUGUGAAAGUUUACGGCUCAACCGUGAAAUUGCAGUUGAUACUGUAUGUCUUGAGUGUACAAGAGGUGGGCGGAAUUCGUGGUGUAGCGGUGAAAUGCUUAGAUAUCACGAAGAACUCCGAUUG